GCCUGGCGGGGACAGAGGCGGGGAGGAGACGCCAGGAAUCGGGCGUCAACCCGCGUGCUGGGUGGAGAUGGGCUUGGAAAGGCUCCAGAACCAGACAAGCGAGUUGGUGACCGGUGAAGCAGGUGCCAACCCAUCACACAGGGUGCUCUGCUUGUGCCGUGAAUCCACGAUGAAGGCGAGUCAGGGGACGAGGCCGGACCAGCCGGCACCUCUUUUGCUGCUUUCCCAGCUGGCGACAGCGGAGAGAGUUAACUGCUCUGUCUGAAGAGCUAGGAAUAGGAAGAAAAGAAGUGGGAAGAAUGUUUGGAGCUAAUGGGUACCCUGGGCGCUGGAGGUGUUACAGGCUCUGUGGAGAUGGCUUCGGUGGAAGCUGUGACCUGAGAGCGGCUGAGCAUUUCCACGUCUGAGGAUGAACACGCCGCCUUCAACGCGCACCACUCGCCAGCGAAGAUGGAGCUGCCUUCUUUACCUUUAUAACAAGGACCCGUUUCAGCUGUUAAAGCAAAGACCAAGAAGGCUUCCGCACGUCCAUUCUUGCAGGUGGGACCUCUUUGACGAUUCCUGUUCAAAUUUCAGAGCAGCCCCCACUGUGCCCAGACCUUCUGAUUCUGCUCUAGUUUUUUCUCCCCCGUAGGUCUUAUCUCCUUUAAACACAUAUCAUUUUUUUUUUUGUUGCUGUGUUUAUUAUGGAUCUUCUUUCCUCCACACCGUAAGCCCCGUUGGGGCAGAGAUUUUUAUUAAUAUUGUUGAUUUUGAUCUCUGAUGUAAUUCAUGCACCUGGUACCUGGUGGGUGCCGGUUCUUGAGUGAAAGAGCAUAUAAAACAAAUAAGCGGAAUGAUGAAGGAAAAGUAAAUUAUAUUCAAGAGAAGGAAUAAGACAUGAAAUUUGAAAUGAAAACGACAGUAGCUCUUCCAAGAGCAAAAGCUACCGGCUUGCCCAGGAAGUUAUAUGAAGAUCCACUUACGGCUUUAGUGAAAAAGGGAAACAAAUAAAAUGAAGGGUUAAGGCUUUUCAAUUUUGGAGUUUUGAAACCGAGUCAAGUGACAGGUGUGGAGCUCUGUGGACAAAGGAACUCCAGGCAUCUAAUGAGUAUGACCAUCCAGUAACCAACUUCCAGGAGCUCGUGGAAGGGUGAGACGGUGACUAUGCAGAAGCGUCAGACGGUGGGAGGAGAGCUGGGGCUUCAUGUGUAAUGGAUUCCGUGCUGCAAAUGCUCACCCAAGCCUCUGGACCAUGAACCACGUCAAAGACGUUAAAAGAACUAAAGUUGACUAAUGAUCACGUAAUUAAUAGGGAAGUUGGAAGGAUUUUGGAGUUCCCACGUCAAUCACGGCUCAGGGGCAUCUUAGAGGAACUGCUAUGUUGAAUAAAGGUCGCAUCAACCUUUUUCGAUGUCUGUUGGUGAUUUGAAAAUGAUUAGAUUGGAUAAACAGUUUGCACUACAACUCAUAUAUCUUGGCAAAUGGGUUAUAUAGGUGUGUUUACGUGGCAAUUGCGUAGUUUAGAGAA